GUGGGGAAUCUUGCGCAAUGGGCGAAAGCCUGACGCAGCCAUGCCGCGUGAAUGAUGAAGGUCUUAGGAUUGUAAAGUUCUUUCGCUCGUGACGAUGAUGACGGUAACGAGAGAAGAAGCCCCGGCUAACUUCGUGCCAGCAGCCGCGGUAAUACGAAGGGGGCUAGCGUUGUUCGGAAUUACUGGGCGUAAAGCGCGCGUAGGCGGCUUUGCAAGCCAGAGGUGAAAUGCCUGAGCUCAACUUAGGAAUUGCCUUUGGGACUGCGAGGCUUCGAGGACUGGAGAGGUGAGUGGAAUUCCCAGUGUAGAGGUGAAAUUCGUAGAUAUUGGGAAGAACACCGGUGGCGAAGGCGGCUCACUGGCCAGUUUCUGACGCUAAAGCGCGAAAGCGUGGGGAUCAAACAGGAUUAGAAACCCGAGUAGUCC
rnacentral:rRNA from 1 species